rnacentral:tRNA from 1 species
UCCCUGGAGGACUAGUGGUUAGGCCUCGGUACUCUUACUACCACAAUCUGGGUUCAAUUCCUGGCCAGGGAA